AAGAGGGGCGGGGAUUCCGGCCAGUCGGCCAAUGGGAGGCGCUCAUACAACCUUCGGGCCAAUGGCGCCUCCGCUCUUAUCGCGAAGUCCCUUCCUUCAACGCCCUGUUUCCUCUCUCGGGUUUCCUACCUCCCCCGCCGAGGAGGGGGAAAGAGGAAAGGGGGAGUGUGGCGGGGCGGGUGAUAAUGGGGAGGUAUCAGGGCAUAUAAUAGAGCAGGGGGUGGGCGAAGAGAGCGCCAGUGCGUAGCGACGGUUCUGGGAGAGGAGGUGCUCAGAGGAAAGGGCGGGGGCUGCUGAUGUAAUGGGGAGAAGUGAUUAAUCCUUCGGUUCGCCGUUUCAGCCUUCCCCCCCCACCCCAACCUUCACCCGAUUUUUUAAGCCGAAAAAAAGUGGAGCGAGGGAGCCGAUCUUUGGUAACUCGGGUUUUUUUGUGGAAGGUCCCACAACUCAAAGGAAAAGAAAAAUCCCCAAGAUAAAGUAUCUUUUGUAUCUGUAUUUGGUCCUCUCGACAUAAUCUCUCCCCAAGGAAAACGCGUUUUUUCCCCCAGCUGCUGUUAUGAUGACUGAAAAUGUACUAUUUCUCAAUUCUCCCCCUCUCAUUUUUGUUUACCAUUUUUGGGAUGUGGUAAAAAUUGGCAAUUCACCUG